rnacentral:rRNA from 1 species
UGAACGCUGGCGGCAGGCCUAACACAUGCAAGUCGAACGGCAGCACAGAAGAGUUUGCUCUUUGGGUGGCGAGUGGCGGACGGGUGAGUAAUGUCUGGGAAACUGCCCGAUGGAGGGGGAUAACUACUGGAAACGGUAGCUAAUACCGCAUAACGUCGCAAGACCAAAGUGGGGGACCUUCGGGCCUCACACCAUCGGAUGUGCCCAGAUGGGAUUAGCUAGUAGGUGGGGUAAUGGCUCACCUAGGCGACGAUCCCUAGCUGGUCUGAGAGGAUGACCAGCCACACUGGAACUGAGACACGGUCCAGACUCCUACGGGAGGCAGCAGUGGGGAAUAUUGCACAAUGGGCGCAAGCCUGAUGCAGCCAUGCCGCGUGUAUGAAGAAGGCCUUCGGGUUGUAAAGUACUUUCAGCGGGGAGGAAGGCGGUGAGGUUAAUAACCUUGCCGAUUGACGUUACCCGCAGAAGAAGCACCGGCUAACUCCGUGCCAGCAGCCGCGGUAAUACGGAGGGUGCAAGCGUUAAUCGGAAUUACUGGGCGUAAAGCGCACGCAGGCGGUCUGUUAAGUCAGAUGUGAAAUCCCCGGGGCUUUAACCUGGGAACUGCAUUUGAAACUGGCAGGCUUGAGUCUCGUAGAGGGGGGUAGAAUUUCCAGGUGUAGCGGUGAAAUGCGUAGAGAUCUGGAGGAAUACCGGUGGCGAAGGCGGCCCCCUGGACGAAGACUGACGCUCAGGUGCGAAAGCGUGGGGAGCAAACAGGAUUAGAUACCCUGGUAGUCCACGCCGUAAACGAUGUCGACUUGGAGGUUGUGCCCUUGAGGCGUGGCUUCCGGAGCUAACGCGUUAAGUCGACCGCCUGGGGAGUACGGCCGCAAGGUUAAAACUCAAAUGAAUUGACGGGGGCCCGCACAAGCGGUGGAGCAUGUGGUUUAAUUCGAUGCAACGCGAAGAACCUUACCUGGCCUUGACAUCCAGAGAACUUAGCAGAGAUGCUUUGGUGCCUUCGGGAACUCUGAGACAGGUGCUGCAUGGCUGUCGUCAGCUCGUGUUGUGAAAUGUUGGGUUAAGUCCCGCAACGAGCGCAACCCUUAUCCUUUGUUGCCAGCGGUUCGGCCGGGAACUCAAAGGAGACUGCCGGUGAUAAACCGGAGGAAGGUGGGGAUGACGUCAAGUCAUCAUGGCCCUUACGGCCAGGGCUACACACGUGCUACAAUGGCGCAUACAAAGAGAAGCGACCUCGCGAGAGCAAGCGGACCUCAUAAAGUGCGUCGUAGUCCGGAUUGGAGUCUGCAACUCGACUCCAUGAAGUCGGAAUCGCUAGUAAUCGUAGAUCAGAAUGCUACGGUGAAUACGUUCCCGGGCCUUGUACACACCGC